CUGCUGAAGCUGCCAUGUCUAAGAAGAAAGCUUUGGAGAAAAAUUUUCUUCUUAGACAUGGCAGCGUCAACAG
rfam:Chlorocebus sabaeus isolate 1994-021 chromosome 8, whole genome shotgun sequence.